rnacentral:rRNA from 1 species
GAUGAACGCUGGCGGCGUGCCUAAUACAUGCAAGUCGAGCGAACAGACGAGGAGCUUGCUCCUCUGACGUUAGCGGCGGACGGGUGAGUAACACGUGGAUAACCUACCUAUAAGACUGGAUAACUUCGGGAAACCGGAGCUAAUACCGGAUAAUAUAUUGAACCGCAUGGUUCAAUAGUGAAAGACGGUUUUGCUGUUACUUAUAGAUGGAUCCGCGCCGCAUUAGAUAGUUGGUAAGGUAACGGCUUACCAAGGCAACGAUGCGUAGCCGACCUGAGAGGGUGAUCGGCCACACUGGAACUGAGACACGGUCCAGACUCCUACGGGAGGCAGCAGUAGGGAAUCUUCCGCAAUGGGCGAAAGCUUGACGGAGCAACGCCGCGUGAGUGAUGAAGGUCUUCGGAUCGUAAAACUCUGUUAUUAGGGAAGAACAAAUGUGUAAGUAACUAUGCACGUCUUGACGGUACCUAAUCAGAAAGCCACGGCUAACUACGUG